rnacentral:lncRNA from 1 species
CAUGACUUUGAAUCUUUGGGACAGUGGUAGAUAUUUUGACUCACCUAAGAAAGAAACAUGUACCUUGAAUGUGGAACCCUAAACGUGGGACCGUGGAGUAGGAUUUUCAGUCUAAUUAUGUUUACAUAAUUUAAGAUCUUGCAUCCUAUUUUAUACAUAUACACUAUGUACAAUAGUCCUCGAAUACAUUAUUUAGUAGAGAGAUCAUAAAUAUUUCUAUAAGAAGGGAGAAAAGGCACAGAUAUAAUUCAAUUUCUUUUUUAGGCACCAGAGAGAGAGAGAUCCUACGUUCUGUGCAAAACCUCUUACAGAUCACGCUGUGUAUUGAGUCCAGACGAAAAGCACAGGGAAAACCCCAACCUCGAGCGAGCCCCGUCUCACCUGAGGUCAGAACCUCUGAUGUUAGAGGGGCUGUUUUCGCAGCCAACAUGAACAUGGAGAAGGGACAAUUCAACCUUGUCUUCGCAGAGAAAAGUGCUUCUCCUGUAGGCUCAGUCUGUAAUGUUUGGGUGGGACUCUGGCACACAGCAUGGAGGUACCUCUGAAAACUAAAUAUAGAACUACCAUUUGACCCACUCCUCCGCAUGUAUCCAGACAAAACUUUCACUGAAGAAGAUACAUGCACCCCUGUGCUCAUUGCAGUGCUAUUCACAAUAGCCAAGACAUGGAAACGACCUAAAUGUCCAUCAACAGAUGAAUGGGUUAAGAAGAUGUGAUAUAUAUAUAUAUAUAUAUAUAUAUAUAUAUACACACACACACACACACAAUGGAAUACUACUCAGCUAUAAAAAAGAACAAAGUAAUUUGCAGUGAUAUGGGUGGAACUAGAGACUCACAUACUAAGUGAAGUAAGUCAGAAAGAGGAAGACAAAUACCAUAUGACACCACUAAUAUCUGGAAGCUAAUAUACAGGCGGAAAUGAACCUAUCUAUGAAAAGAAACACACUCAUGGACUUGGAGAACAGAGUUGUGGUUGCCAAGGGGGAGGGGGAGAGAGUGGGGUGGACUGGGAUUUAGGGGUUAGUAGAUGCAAACUAUUGCCUUUGGAGUGGAUGAGCAAUGAGAUCCUGCUGUAUAGCACAGGGAACUAUAUCUAGUCACUUGUGAUGGAACAUGAUGGAGGAUAAUGGGAGAAAAAGAAUGUAUAUAUAUGUAUGACUGGGUCACUUUUCUGUACAGCAUAAAUUGACAGAACAUUGUAAAACAACUAUAAUAGAAAAAAAUAAAAAUCUUAUUUAAAAACA